UACGUAGGCAGCGAGCGUUGUUCGGAGUUACUGGGCGUAAAGCGUGCGUAGGCGGUGUCUUAAGUUUGUUGUGAAAUCUCCCGGCUUAACCGGGAGGGUGCGGCGAAUACUGAGAUGCUGGAGUGCCGGAGAGGUAAGCGGAAUUCCUGGUGUAGCGGUGAAAUGCGUAGAUAUCAGGAGGAACACCCAGGGGGAAACCAGUGGACUGGGCAGGAGCUGACGCUCAGGUGCGAAAGCGUGGGGAGCGAACCGG
rnacentral:rRNA from 1 species